GAUCCUGGCUCAGGAUGAACGCUGGCGGCGUGCUUAACACAUGCAAGUCGAACGAAGCACUUUACCACGAUUCCUUCGGGAUGACGGUUUAGUGACUGAGUGGCGGACGGGUGAGUAACGCGUGGGGAACCUGCCCCAUACCGGGGGAUAACAGCCGGAAACGGCUGCUAAUACCGCAUAAGCGCACAGUACCGCAUGGUAUGGUGUGAAAAACUCCGGUGGUAUGGGAUGGACCCGCGUCUGAUUAGCCAGG
rnacentral:rRNA from 1 species